GGCGUGCCUAAUACAUGCAAGUCGAACGAACUCUGGUAUUGAUUGGUGCUUGCAUCAUGAUUUACAUUUAAGUGAGUGGCGAACUGGUAAGUAACACGUGGGAAACCUGCCCAGAAGCGGGGGAUAACACCUGGAAACAGAUGCUAAUACCGCAUAACAACUUGGACCGCAUGGUCCGAGUUUGAAAGAUGGCUUCGGCUAUCACUUUUGGAUGGUCCCGCGGCGUAUUAGCUAGAUGGUGAGGUAACGGCUCACCAUGGCAAUGAUACGUAGCCGACCUGAGAGGGUAAUCGGCCACAUUGGGACUGAGACACGGCCCAAACUCCUACGGGAGGCAGCAGUAGGGAAUCUUCCACAAUGGACGAAAGUCUGAUGGAGCAACGCCGCGUGAGUGAAGAAAGGGUUCGGGCUCGUAAAACUCUGUUGUUAAAGAAGAACAUAUCUGAGAGUAACUGUUCAGGUAUUGACGGUAUUUAACCAGAAAGCCACGGCUAACUACGUGCCAGCAGCCGCGGUAAUACGUAGGUGGCAAGCGUUGUCCGGAUUUAUUGGGCGUAAAGCGAGCGCAGGCGGUUUUUUAAGUCUGAUGUGAAAGCUUCGGCUCAACCGAAGAAGUGCAUCGGAAACUGGGAAACUUGAGUGCAGAAGA
rnacentral:rRNA from 2 species